AGACUUCUGAAUCCUAGCACAUUCGCUGGAUGGUUUGGAAGAUCUCUUUUUCAUGCAAUUGUUGUAUUUGUAAUCAGCAUACAUGCCUACGCUUAUGAAAAAAGUGAGAUGGAGGAGAUCUCAUUGGUUGCUCUCUCUGGAUGUAUUUGGUUGUAGGCUUUUGUUAUGAUAUUAGAAACAAACUCUUUUACAAUACUACAACAUCUUGCUAUAUGGGGAAAUUUGAUUGGCUUUUAUAUCAUCAACUGGAUCUUCAGCGCCAUCCCAUCAUCAGGGAUGCAUACAAUUAUGUUUCGCUUG